CCUACGGGUGGCAGCAGUGGGGAAUAUUGGGCAAUGGGGGAAACCCUGACCCAGCAACGCCGCGUGAAGGACGAAGGCCUUCGGGUUGUAAACUUCUUUGAUCAGGGACGAAAGCAAUGACGGUACCUGAAGAACAAGCCACGGCUAACUACGUGCCAGCAGCCGCGGUAAUACGUAGGUGGCGAGCGUUAUCCGGAUUUACUGGGUGUAAAGGGCGUGUAGGCGGGUUUGCAAGUCGGGUGUGAAAGAUUCGGGCUUAACCCGGAGAGGUCAUCCGAAACUGCAGAUCUUGAGUGCUGGAGAGGAUAGUGGAAUUCCUGGUGUAGCGGUAAAAUGCGUAGAGAUCAGGAGGAACACCAGUGGCGAAGGCGGCUAUCUGGACAGUAACUGACGCUGAGGCGCGAAAGCGUGGGGAGCAAACAGGAUUAGAUACCCCAGUAGUC
rnacentral:rRNA from 1 species